rnacentral:rRNA from 1 species
GUCCACACGGUAACGAUGGAUACUCGCUGUUGGCGAUAUACUGUCAGCGGCCAAGCGAAGCAUUAAGUAUCCCACCUGGGAGUACGCCGGCAACGGUGAACUCAAAGGAAUUGACGGGGCCCGCACAAGCGGAGGAACAUGUGGUUUAAUUCGAUGAUACGCGAGGAACCUUACCCGGGCUUAAAUUGCAGACGAAUUACUUGGAAACAGGUAAGCCGCAAGGCGUCUGUGAAGGUGCUGCAUGGUUGUCGU